rnacentral:rRNA from 1 species
UACGUAGGGUGCGAGCGUUAAUCGGAAUUACUGGGCGUAAAGCGUGCGCAGGCGGCUUUGCAAGACAGAUGUGAAAUCCCCGGGCUCAACCUGGGAACUGCAUUUGUGACUGCAAGGCUAGAGUAGGGCAGAGGGGGAUGGAAUUCCGCGUGUAGCAGUGAAAUGCGUAGAUAUGCGGAGGAACACCAAUGGCGAAGGCAAUCCCCUGGGCCUGUACUGACGCUCAUGCACGAAAGCGUGGGGAGCAAACAGG